UACGUAGGUGACAAGCGUUGUCCGGAUUUACUGGGCGUAAAGAGCGCGCAGGCGGUCGUUCAAGUCGAGUGUGAAAGCCCCCCGGCUCAACUGGGGAGGGUCACUCGAUACUGAUCGACUCGAAGGCAGGAGAGGGUAGUGGAAUUCCCGGUGUAGUGGUGAUAUGCGUAGAUAUCGGGAGGAACACCUGUGGCGAAGGCGGCUUUCUGGGCCUUACCUGACGCUGAGACGCGAAAGCGUGGGGAGCGAACCGG
rnacentral:rRNA from 1 species